GGGGAUGUAGCUCAGUGGUAGAGUGCUCACCUAGCAGGUGUGAGGCCCUGAGUUUGAUCUCUAGCAGCACCC
rnacentral:tRNA from 1 species